rnacentral:ncRNA from 2 species
ACAAUAGAAUUGCUCUGAAGCUGGAAAGACCCUUCCGGGGCCUUUCCAGCCAAUGGGUAACAGGGGCAACCCUGUUGUCUGCCAUCUUUGCAAAGGAGCCCGUAGAAACUGCUU